CUGUUGUAAUGAAUGGUGGAUACAUUUAAUUGAAUUGCUUUGCACCUUUGUGUGUUUGAACAGUUCCAUGAGGAGUUUAGAGACUACAAACUGCCUUGGGGAGCAAUCUUGAAUACAGGUCAUCAGGAGUAACAUUGAGUGAUUUAUCACUCAUUUUUCUCUGGCGAGCAGAAAGACAAACCAGACUCCACAGUGUCCACUGAAAGUAUUUGAAAAGCUAAACAUACAUCUACCAGAAAAUCUGACAGCUAUUGCUGACCAUGUGCAGGACGUGUUGUCUGGAGACAACAAGGAACAAUGAAGAAGCACCAGGCUAAUAUGCUAAGGCAGAACUCAACGACAGCAGCAGUGUGACUCCUCAUGGCACAACUGUACCACAGCAGCACAAAUGGGAUGACUCUCAACAGGACCUGCUGCGAGAAAGCUGUGAUGCUACUGUUCACUUGGGUGCUCGGGUGGCUGCAGCCAAAGGUACUUCUGCUUCAGGAAGGGUUAACACCUCUCUAUGCAGACAAGAGCCUGAAAGUUUCUCUCACUGGAACCUGGAGCUCACUGAUUAGACAAGAAAAACUACCCAGGCAGCCCUGGAGACCUGUCUGCCUCUGUCUUGGCAGUGCUGAUUACAAGCUUCCAUCACCAAGCCUAGCUUUUUUUUUUUAAUGCCUGCAUUUUGCCAUUGAAACUCAGGUCCUCUUGAUUGUAUGGCAAGCACUUAACUGACUGUCUAUGUCCCCAGUCAGUGCCAGGAUGGCUUUUUUUUUUUUUUUUUUUAACAGAAUGACUAAGCAUUUGCCUGAAAACCACACAGAAGGCUUUCCCCUUGAAAGGCCAGUAUAGCAGCCAGCUCACCUCCAGUUGAAGGCAAAGGCCAGUAAGUAUAAAGGUUUCCACAAGACAGCUCAUAAGAAGCAGACUGCCUGGGAAGCAACUGGUGGUAAAACACCCUGGAGGCCACCGGCCCCACAAGCCACUCGAAGGAAAGCGCCCUCUAGAGGAGGGGUGAGUAAACAUUAUUCUUAUAGGCCUAGUGUUGUGACACUCCAUACAAUUAGAUGCUACCAGAAGUCCCCUUAACAUCUCCAUCACAGACUUCCCCCUUGCAUCAUCUAGAAGUUGUCCCGGAUGUCAGAACACAUCUGUGCUUCUGAGAACAGCUGCUGGCGCUUUGCAGGGUAUAAGUAAGAUGUACCUGAUUCCUCCUUACCUGUGGGCUAUCCAUGACCAACAUGUAACAAACACAUCAAGACAUAUCCAACCGUCAUGCCACAUACAUGAAUAACUUAUUUAGGAACCCACUAUGGUAGGGAAAUUUUUCUUGUUAAUACGUUUUCUCAUCUCUUCCUAUUAUAAAUAGUCUUGUGUGCUUAAUCUUCU